CAGAGCAAAUUCCAAGACAAAGUUUCAAGAAUGAUGAUUCAGAGGCUCACAGAGGACAUUUGCGGGGCUCUGCUGCUAGACUUGACCAUGGAGUCCAGGCGUGCAUCUUCUGGCUUCCGCAUGUCUUCUGCCCUGGGAGCUCUGGCCGCAGGUGGAUACCCGUUUGGUGCCAGCCAACAUCUGCCCUUCUAGAAGCCUAUGGAAACACCAGGCCCGCCAUGUGAUGAUUUCCUGUGCCUGCACCCAUGACAGACACGAUCUACUGUGGGAUUUCUGAACUUUGCUGGCAGCCAUGCAGAUGACCUGGGCUGGUCCUGACAUUCUCUGCCCAGUAUAUGUGCCCCCAGGUCCAUGCGGUGGCUGGAGCCACUGGGUAGAGUUUAAAAAGCAGUUCUGGUAGGAGGAGCGAGGGGAACGGCUGUUUGUCCUCACUGGGAUCUGAGCUGCUGGGGAAGCAAUGUGUGUCCAGAGGUGAGGCAGUGCUCACUGCAAGAAACAGUAAAAGUGGUUGGGGGGUGGGGGGAUCCAACCAGGGCCAUUAGUGCCCCCCCAUCAGUGCCGAGGGACUGUUCCCACGGCAUAUCCCAGCACACAGCUUGGUUGGGUUGGAUUGGGUUGAAGGCACAUGUCCUCUCUCCCAGCUGGCUCCUCAGGGGUGGAAUCUGGUUCACUUUGCCUUCGUGGCCCCCACAUCUUCCACAUGGAGCUGGGUUCACAGGCACUGCCCCUAAAAUCAUCCCUCAAUCUGAUCUGGCUUAACCUGCAGCUGCACCAUUUUCAGGAGAGGCCAGAUAAGUGGACUGCUGGGACCUAAGUGAUCCCCAGGCCACCAGGAGGUAGGCGUGGGCAAGAAACCCUUGACCUUGUACGGAAAUCACUGUGGGACUGCUGAGCCCCAUGCCUGGGAAUUAUACACACACUUUAAUAAAAUGGAAAGGACUCUG